GAUUCUGGCUCAGGAUGAACGCUGGCGGCGUGCUUAACACAUGCAAGUCGAACGAGCUUACUUUCACGAUCCCCUCGGGGGUGACGAGUUGUAAGCGAGUGGCGGACGGGUGAGUAACGCGUGGGCAACCUGCCCCAUACAGGGGGAUAACAGUUGGAAACGACUGACAAUACCGCAUAAGCGCACAGUACCGCAUGGUACGGUGUGAAAAAACUCCGGUGGUAUGGGAUGGGCCCGCGUCUGAUUAGCUAGUUGGUGAGGUAACGGCCCACCAAGGCGACGAUCAGUAGCCGACCUGAGAGGGUGACCGGCCACAUUGGGACUGAGACACGGCCCAAACUCCUACGGGAGGCAGCAGUGGGGAAUAUUGCACAAUGGGGGAAACCCUGAUGCAGCCGACGCCGCGUGAGUGAUGAAGUAUUUCGGUAUGUAAGGCUCUAUCAGCAGGGAAGAACAAUGACGGUACCUGACUAAGAAGCCCCGGCUAACUACGUGCCAGCCGCGGC
rnacentral:rRNA from 1 species